UACGUAGGGCGCAAGCGUUGUUCGGAGUUACUGGGCGUAAAGGGCGCGUAGGCGGUCGUGACAAGUCACUUGUGAAAUCUCCGGGCUUAACUCGGAACGGUCAAGUGAUACUGUCGGACUAGAGUACAGAAGGGGCAACUGGAAUUCUCGGUGUAGCGGUGAAAUGCGUAGAUAUCGAGAGGAACACCUGCGGCGAAGGCGGGUUGCUGGGCUGAUACUGACGCUGAGGCGCGAAAGCCAGGGGAGCGAACGGG
rnacentral:rRNA from 1 species